rnacentral:rRNA from 1 species
UUAAGCAUAUCAAUAAGCGGAGGAAGAGAAACUAACAAGGAUUCCCCCAGUAACGGCGAGCGAAGUGGGAACAGCUCGAGCCUGAAAUCCCUGGCAGCUGCUGCCAGAGAAUUGUGGCCGGGAGAGGCAGCGGUGCCCCGACUGUUGCUGUCGAAGUUGACCUGGAAAGGCACGCCAGAGAGGGUGAGAGCCCCGUGCGCGACACCGACGGAAAGGGCCGCUACUGUCUUCGGAGAGUCGGGUUGUUUGGGAAUGCAGCCCAAAGUGGGUGGUAAACUCCAUCUAAAGCUAAAUACUGGCACGAGACCGAUAGCGAACAAGUACCAUGAGGGAAAGGUGAAAAGUACUUUGAAAAGAGAGUCAAAAAGACCGCGAAACCGUUAGGAGGGAAACGAAUGCAGCUGAAGUGGCUCCGUUUCAGGCUCAGGGGAUGCCGGRGGAGUUGUCUCGGUCGUGUCAGCUUCGGCGGCCGGCUGAGGCGGUCCUCAGGUCUACUCUGCAUUCCUGUUGGGAGCYGGCCAACAGCAGUUGCCCNCGGCCCAGAAGGUCGAACGGGAGGUGCCCCGCCGCUUGCGGUGGGAACGUAUAGCCGUCCGUCCGGUGGUCUGGGGGCGACUGAGGAGAGUUGCGAACCUUCGCACGUGCAGCGCAGACUCCUCCGGGAGUCGGUCCGCCUCUGUCCGUUUGGGCACCGCGGCAGGGACUGCGUGCAGUGUCUGCUGACGGCUCGUCUGCUCGGUCGGGGGGUCGGGCACGCCCUGCGCUCUAGUUGUUGGUGCUCGAAUGGCUGCAUCCGACCCGUCUU